AUGGUUCAGACUGGUAGACACAUUGUUUUCCCUUUGGUAUAUCGCCUCAUUGAGUUGGCAUUAAUUUUGCCUGUUGCAACCGCAUCGGUGGAAAGAGCUUUCUCAGCUAUGAGUAUUAUCAAGACAGAGUUGAGGAAUAGGAUGAGUGAUGACUAGCUUAAUUAUAGGAUGGUUUGCUAUAUUGAGUGA
rnacentral:rRNA from 1 species